rnacentral:rRNA from 1 species
AUGGAUUUGUCUUGCCUUGCUAGAGAGUUUUCCUGGGAGGAGAUUGUUCAAGCUAUCAAACACUCACCAAAUAAUCGCAGCCCUGGUCCGGAUGGGUUCACAAACGAGUUCUACAAGGCUUUCCACAACGUCAUCAGGGAAGACCUGCAACUUUUCUUUAAUCAAUUUUACCACAACCAAGUGGACCUUUCUAGCACCAAUCAAGCACAUAUUUCCCUCUUACCUAAGAAGGACACCCCCUUGGAGUUGUGUGAUUUCAGGCCUAUUUCUAUCGUGCAUAGUGUGCCUAAACUGGCGGGCAAGGUCCUUGCUCGGUGUUUACAACUACAAAUACCCUCUCUGGUUCACUCCUUGCAAUCAGGUUUCAUCAAGGGCCGGUCUAUCAUUGAGAACUUUGCUAUGGCUGCUGACAUGGUUCAAACUGCUCAUAAGAGGAAGAUGUCAGUCAUGGUACUUAAAUUGGAUUUUCAGUAG